rnacentral:misc_RNA from 1 species
UACUCCAGCUCCAGGGAUCCA